rnacentral:rRNA from 1 species
GAGCAAACAGGAUUAGAUACCCUGGUAGUCCACGCCCUAAACGAUGUCAACUGGUUGUUGGGUCUUCACUGACUCAGUAACGAAGCUAACGCGUGAAGUUGACCGCCUGGGGAGUACGGCCGCAAGGUUAAAACUCAAAUGAAUUGACGGGGGCCCGCACAAGCGGUGGAGCAUGUGGUUUAAUUCGAAGCAACGCGCAGAACCUUACCAGCCCUUGACAUACCAAUCGCGGUUAGUGGAGACACUUUCCUUCAGUUCGGCUGGAUUGGAUACAGGUGCUGCAUGGCUGUCGUCAGCUCGUGUCGUG